rnacentral:rRNA from 1 species
AUUGAACGCUGGCGGCAUGCCUUACACAUGCAAGUCGAACGGCAGCACGGGAGCAAUCCUGGUGGCGAGUGGCGAACGGGUGAGUAAUGUAUCGGAACGUACCUUCAGGUGGGGGAUAACGUAGCGAAAGUUACGCUAAUACCGCAUAUUCUGUGAGCAGGAAAGCAGGGGAUCGCAAGACCUUGCGCUGAUUGAGCGGCCGAUAUCAGAUUAGCUAGUUGGUGAGGUAAAGGCUCACCAAGGCGACGAUCUGUAGCGGGUCUGAGAGGAUGAUCCGCCACACUGGAACUGAGACACGGUCCAGACUCCUACGGGAGGCAGCAGUGGGGAAUUUUGGACAAUGGGCGCAAGCCUGAUCCAGCCAUGCCGCGUGAGUGAAGAAGGCCUUCGGGUUGUAAAGCUCUUUCGGCCGGGAAGAAAUCGCACGGGUUAAUACCCUGUGUGGAUGACGGUACCGGAAUAAGAAGCACCGGCUAACUACGUG